rnacentral:rRNA from 1 species
UACGUAGGGUGCAAGCGUUAAUCGGAAUUACUGGGCGUAAAGCGCGCGUAGGCGGCCCUUCAAGUCGGGCGUGAAAGCUCCGGGCUUAACCCGGAAAUUGCGUUCGAUACUGUCGGGCUAGAGUGUGGAAGGGGCUACCGGAAUUCCGUGUGUAGCGGUGAAAUGCGCAGAUAUUAGGAGGAACACCGGUGGCGAAGGCGCCACUCUGGGCCGAAACUGACGCUGAGGAGCGAAAGCGUGGGGAGCAAACAGG